AGCAGCAGCCGCGGGAAUACGAAGGGGGCUAGCGUUGCUCGGAAUCACUGGGCGUAAAGGGUGCGUAGGCGGGUCUUUAAGUCAGGGGUGAAAUCCUGGAGCUCAACUCCAGAACUGCCUUUGAUACUGAAGAUCUUGAGUUCGGGAGAGGUGAGUGGAACUGCGAGUGUAGAGGUGAAAUUCGUUGAUAUUCGCAAGAACACCAGUGGCGAAGGCGGCUCACUGGCCCGAUACUGACGCUGAGGCACGAAAGCGUGGGGAGCAAACAGGAUUAGAUACCCGAGUAGUCCCUGUCUCUUAUAC
rnacentral:rRNA from 1 species